AAAACAAAGGAACGCCGUGUUAUGUGCAAGCCAACAAGCAGAUGGAAGCAAGCGGAGCUUUCAGCAGCAGCGCAAAAAACGCAUUCGAGGAGGAGGCGAAUGCAACAACAACAAAGUGAUUUAAAAGAGCAAACCAGUCUGUUCCAAGGUGGUCUGGAGUUCGAAUCCUGUGUGAGUCCGCUCUGGCCUCCCCAAAAAAGAUUUUCCCUCCUGGAGGAGGAAUAGUUACUUAUUCCC